rnacentral:rRNA from 1 species
UGGGGAAUUUUGCACAAUGGGGGAAACCCUGAUGCAGCGACGCCGCGUGAUUUAGAAGGCCUUCGGGUUGUAAAAAUCUUUUUUACGGGAGGAAAAUGACAGUACCGUAAGAAUAAGGUCCGGCUAAAUACGUGCCAGCAGCCGCGGUAAUACGUAUGGACCGAGCGUUGUCCGGAAUCAUUGGGCGUAAAGGGUACGUAGGCGGCCUAGUAAGUUAGAAGUGAAAUAAUAUAGCUCAACUAUAUAAAGCUUUUAAAACUGCUAGGCUUGAGAGAUGGAAGGGAAAGUGGAAUUCCUAGUGUAGCGGUGAAAUGCGCAGAUAUUAGGAAGAAUACCGGUGGCGAAGGCGACUUUCUGGUCAUCAUCUGACGCUGAGGUACGAAAGCGUGGGUAGCAAACAGG